GUGAGCCUGGGACCUGAUGGUUCAGGGAUGGAGUUUUCUGGCUGGGCUCUCAUUCUGCUGCAGCUCUGGGGCCUACAGGAAGCUGUGAGCCUGAUGGUGCAGCAGCAGCCUCCACUGGUGAAUGUGACAGAAGGUGAUAAUGUGUCCCUGUCCUGCGUGGUGACGCCAAGUCAGGCCUGGGAGAGGCUUCGAGUGCAGUGGACCCUGAACAACUCUGACCUUUGCCACAUGCUCAUCUCAAAUGGCAGCCUCAGAUCUGUGAGCUGUGACCUCCAGCUCAAAGAGACCUUCGUCCAGUCAGGUGAGAUCCUCCCCUCCCCCGCCUCUCCAUCCUGCAUGCCCCUCCCCAACAGAUAGUC
rnacentral:lncRNA from 1 species